rnacentral:lncRNA from 1 species
CCUCGGUGCGUUCCCGGUGCUGGCCGCCGCCGCGCUCGCUCCCCGCGCUGGCUUCAGGAGCGACCCGGCCGCGACGUCGAUGGCGCCAGGUGCCAAGCUCUUUCCUUGUAUAAUUUCAUGGACACUCACGCAUCAACUCUAAGCGAAGACUUGGAGCGGGGCUCAGCACCCCAGGGGUACCUCUGCAACCUCGAAAUGAAGUUGAAAAUAGCACAGGAGCCCACUAUCACUGUGUGAACAUUUUGUGAAUGAAGACAUGUAUGAAAGGAUGUUUGGAGGCUUCAAGAAACGAAAGCCGAGAGUCUAGCUAGACCAGAGCCAUCCAGCCCAGGAGCGAUGGCCACGUGUGGCCGCUGGACACGAGAGACGUGGCCAGUCCAAACUGUGCAGUGCGGUUGAAAAAAACAUUUUGGAUAUAUGGUGUUAAAUAAACAUGAUUACAAUGACUUUCGCUGUCAGCCUCCCGGAGGCUCAUUUUGCUCCUCUGGGCCACAGCCAGCUCAGAGGGUUGCUCUAGGAAAUAUCUACACGUUCUUGAAGCACAGGUUUAUGUGCCAGGCACUGUACUAAGUGCUGGGGACACGGCGUUAAGACCAGGCCCUCACGGAGCCCUCACUCUCUGAGGAGGAACAAUAAGUCAGAGAGCGCGCGAGUGCAGCCCUUCAGGCAAAGGAUUUCAGGCCCAGGUCAGGAAGGCCUUGUCUGAGGAGUCUGAGAAGAAGUCAAUUGACAACAGCUAGAACAUCUAGGUCAGGCACUCCAGGCCGACACGACAAAGCAGGUGCAAAGGCCCCAGGGCGGGAACCAGCGUGGCUUGUUCACAGAACAAGGAGGUAGAUCGCUUGCCCUUGGGACCAAAGGAAGGCUCUGGAUUUUAUUCUAGGGGCAGUGGAAGCCGUUGGAGGGCCUCAGGCAGGAACACAAGGUGUCGUGGCAGAAAGGAAGAAGGGGCCGGGCACGGUGGCCCACACCCGUCAUCCCAGCACUUUGGGAGGGAGGCCAAGGCAGGAGGAUCGCUUCAAUCCAGGAGUUCAAGAUCAGCCUGGGCAACACAGCAAGACCCCGUCUCUACUAAAACCCUAAAACUUAGCCAGGCUUGGUGGCAUGUGCCUAAGGUCCCAGGUCCUCGGGAGACUAAGGCAGGAGGAUUGCUUAAGCCCAAGAGUUUGAGGCUGCAGUGAACUAUUAUCACACCACUGCACUCAGCCUGGGUGACAGAGUGACUCUGUCUCAAAACUAAAUAAAUAAACAAUAAUUGUGUUAUUCUGUCUCCAUUUCUCGCAUACUGAAUUUAAGGUGGACUCAGCCAGCGGGUUCAGGCCCAGGGUCUGUCCUGCAGCUACAGUCAGGGUUGGUGGCUGCAGCUGUCAUGGGGGAGCGGUGAGGUUGGGGGAACAGGGGGGCUGGCCUGCAUCCCCCACUUUCAGGUGGGCUCAACUCCGUCUCGUGGCCUAUUGGGGGCCAGCAUGGGCUUCCUUACAGCAUGGAGGCCUCCAGGGUCAAGCUGCCUCUGGGAUGGCAGAGGGCUUUGUGUUCGUGCUCCCACGCCCACAGUGGAGGCAAUACACCCUUUCCAGAUCUAGCAGUACAGGUGCGCAGCACCACACCUCUGUACGCUCUCAGCCUAAGCUGUCCCCAGCCCUCCUGGCCUCUGGAGGAGGGGACGCAGAAACUCCAUCCCGGACAGAGGGAGAGCCAGUGUGUGCACAGGCAGCUUCUAACACUGCUUCGUGGUUUCACACGGCUCCCUCAUGGAGAAGGGGCUGGAGGAGGACAGGGAGGUGUGCAGUCAUCUGGGUGACAUAUGAGGGUGGCUGGGCUUCCAGAUGGCUGCAGUGGAGACCGUAAGAAGAGUGCACGAGGUAAGGCUUCCGAAACGCCCAGCAGGUUCCUGGCAGCUGCAGACAACUCAAUUCUUAGCACUUGCCAAUAGCUGGGGUGUAAACACUCCCGCCGUCGCUAUUUCGGGCUAUGCUCCUUGCCUCCACUGGGUCUGGCUCUUAAAACAGCAAGAAAGCAACUCGGAAGCUGAGUCAGCCCCGUCUCUCCACCGUGCCCACAGAUCCUUCCCUGUUCCAGAGCUCCCGUUGGCAGCCAGCUGGGCUUCUCAGGGGGCAUCUCCAGUCCUGUGCAGUCAGAGAAAACCAGGGAAGCAUCUUGAUCUCACCUAGAAAUUAAGGCCAUCACAUCCAACACCUGCAUUUUACAGAAAACCACUGAUGAUGUGCAGGAGAAUCACAGCUGGGAAGAAACACAGGAGGACCUUUUCCUUCAUCACCAACCAUGCCCCCCCCCAGCCUCCACCCCCGCCCCGAGGGAGAGGCCUGGGGAGCACAGGCUACUUUCUGAGCUUCCGGAAGUUGCAGGUCAACCUGGCGGCAAUUUGGCACCAGGAGCCACCAGUGUGGCCGCGGCCCCUGACCCUGUAAUCCCACAUCGGGCACCCAGCCUAAGAAAACGACACGUUUGCUUCAAGGGCUCAGAGCACCAGGAUUUAAAACAGCAACUAGGAACAACCUAAGAUCCUAGGUGCUCCGAGAUCAAGAUGCCAGAAAAUAAAUCAAAUCAAAUCAAAUCCCAGGCGCAAACGGCCCUCGUGUUCUUACCCCUCCUCUCGCUGUUGGAAAUCGCGGCUCCAUUUAUGGGUGGACAGAAAGACAGCCUCCUAGCACCGGGCUUAUAGCUUCCACGCCCUGUUCUUCUCCAAGCCCUCGCCCG